UAGGAAAGUCCGAAGCUUGUCCAACUAAAACUCAUAUUGAAGAGAGUAAAAGUAAAAAUUUUGGUAUUAAAGAGAAAAUAAAGUCCAUCUUUUUAUAGUUAUAUUUAUAACUAUCCCCUAAAUUUUUUCCUUUUUUUUAGAAUAAAUCUAUAUACGUAAUAAUAAGAUUGUUUCUAAAAAAAAAGGAAAAAAUAAAGCGGGAAAUGUAUUAAUAAAAAGAUUUAUGUUUCUUUUUUUUUAUUAUAGGCAGUAAAAGAAGGUUGUGAAACCCCAAGCCAAGGUUAAGCCUUAUUUUAGUUUAAUAACUAAGACAGGAUCCGGCUUAA
rnacentral:RNase_P_RNA from 1 species